GAAGCGGGAAAAGCUCAAUAUUUGAAAUCUGGCGGUCUUUGGCCGUCCGAGUUGUAAUCUAGAGAAGUGUUACCCGCGCUGGACCGUGUACAAGUCUCCUGGAAUGGAGCGUCAUAGAGGGUGAGAAUCCCGUCUCUGACACGGACUACCAGGGCUUUGUGGUAUGCUCUCAAAGAGUCGAGUUGUUUGGGAAUGCAGCUCAAAAUGGGUGGUAAAUUCCAUCUAAAGCUAAAUAUUGGCGAGAGACCGAUAGCGAACAAGUACCGUGAGGGAAAGAUGAAAAGAACUUUGGAAAGAGAGUUAAACAGUACGUGAAAUUGCUGAAAGGGAAACGCUUGAAGUCAGUCACAUUGACCAGGGAUCAGCCUUGCAUUUGCAUGGUGUACUUUCUGGUUGAUGGGUCAGCAUCAAUUUUGACCGCUGAAAAAGGCUUGGGGAAUGUGACAGCUCCGGCUGUGUUAUAGACCCUUGUCAUAUACAGCGGUUGGGAUUGAGGAACUCAGCACGCCGCAAGGCCGGGUCUCGACCACGUUCGUGCUUAGGAUGCUGGCAUAAUGGCUUUAAGCGACCCGUCUUGAAACACGGACCAAGGAGUCUAACAUGCCUGCGAGUGUUUGGGUGGAAAACCCAAGCGCGUAAUGAAAGUGAAAGUUGAGAUCCCUGUCGUGGGGAGCAUCGACGCCCGGACCAGAACUUUUGGGACGGAUCUGCGGUAGAGCAUGUAUGUUGGGACCCGAAAGAUGGUGAACUAUGCCUGAAUAGGGUGAAGCCAGAGGAAACUCUGGUGGAGGCUCGUAGCGAUUCUGACGUGCAAAUCGAUCGUCAAAUUUGGGUAUA
rnacentral:rRNA from 1 species